rnacentral:rRNA from 1 species
UAGGGAAUCUUCCACAAUGGACGAAAGUCUGAUGGAGCAACGCCGCGUGAGUGAAGAAGGUUUUCGGAUCGUAAAACUCUGUUGUAAGGGAAGAACAAGUACAGUAGUAACUGGCUGUACCUUGACGGUACCUUAUUAGAAAGCCACGGCUAACUACGUGCCAGCAGCCGCGGUAAUACGUAGGUGGCAAGCGUUGUCCGGAAUUAUUGGGCGUAAAGCGCGCGCAGGCGGUCCUUUAAGUCUGAUGUGAAAGCCCUCGGCUCAACCGAGGAGGGUCAUUGGAAACUGGAGGACUUGAGUGCAGAAGAGGAAAGUGGAAUUCCAAGUGUAGCGGUGAAAUGCGUAGAGAUUUGGAGGAACACCAGUGGCGAAGGCGACUUUCUGGUCUGUAACUGACGCUGAGGCGCGAAAGCGUGGGGAGCAAACAG